rnacentral:rRNA from 1 species
CAUAUCAAUAAGCGGAGGAAAAGAAACUAACAAGGAUUCCCCUAGUAACUGCGAGUGAAGCGGGAAAAGCUCAAAUUUAAAAUCUGUCAGUCUUUGGCUGUCCGAGUUGUAAUCUAGAGAAGUGUUAUCCGCGUUGGACCGUGUACAAGUCUCCUGGAAUGGAGCGUCAUAGAGGGUGAGAAUCCCGUCUUUGACACGGACUGCCAGGGCUUUGUGAUGCGCUCUCAAAGAGUCGAGUUGUUUGGGAAUGCAGCUCAAAAUGGGUGGUAAAUUCCAUCUAAAGCUAAAUAUUGGCGAGAGACCGAUAGCGAACAAGUACCGUGAGGGAAAGAUGAAAAGAACUUUGGAAAGAGAGUUAAACAGUACGUGAAAUUGCUGAAAGGGAAACGCUUGAAGUCAGUCGCGUUAUCCAGGGAUCAACCUUGCUUUUGCUUGGUGUACUUUCUGGUUAAUGGGUCAGCAUCAAUUUUGACUAUUGGAAAAAGAUCAGGGGAAUGUGGCAUCUUCGGAUGUGUUAUAGCCCUUGGUUGCAUACAAUGGUUGGGAUUGAGGAACUCAGCACGCCGCAAGGCCGGGUUUUUAACCACGUACGUGCUUAGGAUGCUGGCAUAAUGGCUUUAAUCGACCCGUCUUGAAACACGGACCAAGGAGUCUAACAUACCUGCGAGUGUUUGGGUGGAAAACCCGAGCGCGUAAUGAAAGUGAAAGUUGAGAUCCCUGUCGUGGGGAGCAUCGACGCCCGGACCAGACCUUUUGUGACGGUUCCGCGGUAGAGCAUGUAUGUUGGGACCCGAAAGAUGGUGAACUAUGCCUGAAUAGGGUGAAGCCAGAGGAAACUCUGGUGGAGGCUCGUAGCGAUUCUGACGUGCAAAUCGAUCGUCAAAUUUGGGUAUAGGGGCGAAAGACUAAUCGAACCAUCUAGUAGCUGGUUCCUGC